UACGAAGGGUGCAAGCGUUACUCGGAAUUACUGGGCGUAAAGCGUGCGUAGGUGGUUCGUUAAGUCUGUCGUGAAAGCCCCGGGCUCAACCUGGGAAUGGCGAUGGAUACUGGCGGGCUAGAGUGCGGUAGAGGAGAGUGGAAUUCCCGGUGUAGCAGUGAAAUGCGUAGAGAUCGGGAGGAACAUCAGUGGCGAAGGCGACUUUCUGGACCAAUACUGACGCUCAGGUGCGAAAGCGUGGGGAGCAAACAGG
rnacentral:rRNA from 1 species